UAUAAAUUAUCAAGUCUUCUGUAGUUACUAUCUAUCAAUUUAUUCCAAAUUGGUUGCUACUCAGAAACAGUGCUUAGCAGCUUUUUAGAGGUUAGUUGUAAAGGACUGUAUGGUGCUGAGCUGAGUUUUCUCAAGAGGAAGGCCUAGGGGAAAAUGAGGAGAUCCUUAAAAAGCUAUGUUUGGCUGCGUACUUCAUUCAGGAUAAACUACGAAGUCUCCUUUUGUCUGACAAGAAAUGAAAUCCAUUAUGAUAUCUUAAAGGGAAUCUAUAUGUGAUCGAUGGAGUAGUUUCCACAGCUCCUUGCAGAUGAACCCACAUUUCCAGGAGGCACUGAGGAAGUUUCAAAAGCCCUAUGCUUUGUGUGCGCAGUGUUGUUUUCUCGAAGCUGAAAAGUAAAUGUUUAAUGAGAAGGUUUUGUGAAACUAAUGAGUUUCCUUACUCUGGUUAUGGAGCCAGUAAAAUUCACUCUGGCAGCAAAUACCAGUUAUGAAACAAUAUUGGUCAAGCUUUCAGCCAGAAGUCUGGAGAACAUUGUUAUAUUUAUCUUCCUGUUAGAGCUCAUAUUAGCUGUAAUGUAGUUAUACUGUUUCUCCUAAAAAUAAAAUGGAAAGGUAGUCUUUUUACUCCAGAUACCUAGUCUUAGAAAAAUCCAGAAUGGUAUUUCCUUAGAUAUGAGACUUAAUUUUAAACUACAAAAGUGAUUAAAAGUGAUUGACUAAAUUAAGAUAGGCGUAUGACUAUCUCAUACCUUUGUUGCAUGAAGAUACUUUAAAAAAAAAAAA